CCUACGGGUGGCAGCAGUCGAGAAUCAUUCACAAUGGGGGAAACCCUGAUGCAGCGACGCCGCGUGAGUGAAGAAGUAUUUCGGUAUGUAAAGCUCUGUCAGCAGGGAAGAAAAUGACGGUACCUGACCAAGAAGCCCCGGCUAACUACGUGCCAGCAGCCGCGGUAAUACGUAGGGGGCAAGCGUUAUCCGGAUUUACUGGGUGUAAAGGGAGCGUAGACGGCAGGGCAAGUCUGGAGUGAAAGGCGGGGGCUCAACCCCCGGACCGCUCUGGAAACUGCCAGGCUGGAGUGCAGGAGAGGUAAGUGGAAUUCCUAGUGUAGCGGUGAAAUGCGUAGAUAUUAGGAGGAACACCAGUGGCGAAGGCGGCUUACUGGACUGUAACUGACGUUGAGGCUCGAAAGCGUGGGGAGCAAACAGGAUUAGAUACCCGAGUAGUC
rnacentral:rRNA from 1 species